rnacentral:precursor_RNA from 8 species
AUGAAGAGCGAAAGAAGAACUGGACAAAGUUAAAAUGCUAUUCUGUCAUUGUGAUAGUUCAUAUGGGCACUGACAGGAGAGCAUUUUAAUUUUGUCAAGCGUGUCUGCUACUCAUUUAUU